UACGUAGGAGGCAAGCGUUGUCCGGAUUUAUUGGGCGUAAAGAGCGUGUAGGCGGCUUGGUAGGUCCGCUGUGAAAACUCGAGGCUCAACCUCGAGAUGUCGGCGGAAACCACUUGGCUAGAGUCCGGAAGAGGAGAGUGGAAUUCCUGGUGUAGCGGUGAAAUGCGCAGAUAUCAGGAAGAACACCUAUGGCGAAGGCAGCUCUCUGGGACGGUACUGACGCUGAGACGCGAAAGCGUGGGGAGCGAACAGG
rnacentral:rRNA from 1 species